GGUGGCUCAGUGGUAGAGCACUUGCCUUGCAUGCAUGAAGCCCUAGGUUCAAUUCCUCAGCACCA
rnacentral:tRNA from 1 species